UGGCUUUGCUGUCUGAGGAUGCCCAAACCAGCUUUGCAUCAGUGGACCUUUGCAGGACAAGAAGUAGGAGUGUAUGAGGAACUAGAAGAAAGAGAAGCAGAAGGCCCUACACAGCAAUGGAUUAACACCAAAAGAGACUGGAUGCUGGACAUUAGGAAAGAAAGCGAUCCAUGACAAUAAAUGGAGUUGUAAGCGUUCCUCUCUUUUACUUGUAGUACUGAGAAUUUGACAGCUGGUACCCAGCAGUCAGGCCAGCAGGUUGCCUGCUGUUGGCUUUGCAAACCAUUCUUCAGGCACUGCUCCACAUAGGAUUUGGGAUCGCAUCCGGAGAGGAGGAUCUCACCAAGGAGAGCGAUGUAGGCAAUGGCCAGACGCAGCGUGUCGAUUUUGGAGA